AUGGCUGAUCUGAAGAGUCCUAUUAGACUGAGACUCUGAUGAAGAGUCCCACUGGAUUGGGACUCUAUCAUUAAUGAAGGAUUAAUUAGUGAUUAGGUCACUAAUUAGCUCAAUUUGAUUGAGCAUUAAAGUCUGGAUCAAGUCUGAUUGAAUUGGAUUCAAUCAGGUUAGAUCUAAUUAGGUUACGAGAUGACCUAACAGUAAGGAAGAAUUGAUCCUGAUUUAAUCGAGUCUAUGACUCAAUUAAUUCACUGAUUUGGUUAGAUUUAAUUGAAGUUAUGAAAUCAUAAUUAG
rnacentral:lncRNA from 1 species